rnacentral:rRNA from 1 species
CCUACGGGAGGCUGCAGUGGGGAAUAUUGCACAAUGGGCGCAAGCCUGAUGCAGCCAUGCCGCGUGUGUGAAGAAGGCCUUCGGGUUGUAAAGCACUUUCAGCGGGGAGGAAGGCGUUAAGGUUAAUAACCUUGGCGAUUGACGUUACCCGCAGAAGAAGCACCGGCUAACUCCGUGCCAGCAGCCGCGGUAAUACGGAGGGUGCAAGCGUUAAUCGGAAUUACUGGGCGUAAAGCGCACGCAGGCGGUCUGUCAAGUCGGAUGUGAAAUCCCCGGGCUCAACCUGAGAACUGCAUUCGAAACUGGCAGGCUAGAGUCUUGUAGAGGGGGGUAGAAUUCCAGGUGUAGCGGUGAAAUGCGUAGAGAUCUGGAGGAAUACCGGUGGCGAAGGCGGCCCCCUGGACAAAGACUGACGCUCAGGUGCGAAAGCGUGGGGAGCAAACAGGAUUAGAUACCCGUGUAGUC